CGAACGCUGGCGGCAUGCCUAACACAUGCAAGUCGAACGAGACCUUCGGGUCUAGUGGCGCACGGGUGCGUAACGCGUGGGAACCUGCCCUUAGGUUCGGAAUAACUCCCCGACAGGGGUGCUAACACCGGAUAAUGUCUUCGGACCAAAGAUUUAUCGCCUUUGGAUGGGCCCGCGUUGGAUUAGCUAGUUGGUAGGGUAAAAGCCUACCAAGGCGACGAUCCAUAGCUGGUCUGAGAGGAUGAUCAGCCACACUGGGACUGAGACACGGCCCAGACUCCUACGGGAGGAAGCAGUGGGGAAUAUUGGACAAUGGGCGAAAGCCUGAUCCAGCAAUGCCGCGUGAGUGAUGAAGGCCUUAGGGUUGUAAAGCUCUUUUACCCGGGAUGAUAAUGACAGUACCGGGAGAAUAAGCUCCGGCUAACUCCGUG
rnacentral:rRNA from 1 species